GACGAACGCUGGCGGCGUGCCUAAUACAUGCAAGUAGAACGCUGAAGAGAGGAGCUUGCUCUUCUUGGAAGAGUUGCGAACGGGUGAGUAACGCGUAGGUAACCUGCCUUGUAGCGGGGGAUAACUAUUGGAAACGAUAGCUAAUACCGCAUAACAAUGGGUGACCCAUGUCAUUCAUUUGAAAGGGGCAAAUGCUCCACUACAAGAUGGACCUGCGUUGUAUUAGCUAGUAGGUGAGGUAACGGCUCACCUAGGCGACGAUACAUAGCCGACCUGAGAGGGUGAUCGGCCACACUGGGACUGAGACACGGCCCAGACUCCUACGGGAGGCAGCAGUAGGGAAUCUUUGGCAAUGGGGGCAACCCUGACCGAGCAACGCCGCGUGAGUGAAGAAGGUUUUCGGAUCGUAAAGCUCUGUUGUAAGUCAAGAACGAGUGUGAGAGUGGAAAGUUCACACUGUGACGGUAGCUUACCAGAAAGGGACGGCUAACUACGUGCCAGCAGCCGCGGUAAUACGUAGGUCCCGAGCGUUGUCCGGAUUUAUUGGGCGUAAAGCGAGCGCAGGCGGUUUGAUAAGUCUGAAGUUAAAGGCUGUGGCUCAACCAUAGUUCGCUUUGGAAACUGUCAAACUUGAGUGCAGAAGGGGAGAGUGGAAUUCCAUGUGUAGCGGUGAAAUGCGUAGAUAUAUGGAGGAACACCGGUGGCGAAAGCGGCUCUCUGGUCUGUAACUGACGCUGAGGCUCGAAAGCGUGGGGAGCGAACAGG
rnacentral:rRNA from 1 species